UGGGGAAUAUUGGACAAUGGGCGCAAGCCUGAUCCAGCCAUGCCGCGUGAGUGAUGAAGGCCCUAGGGUUGUAAAGCUCUUUCGCCAGGGGACGAUAAUGACGGUACCUGGAUAAGAAGCCCCGGCUAACUUCGUGCCAGCAGCCGCGGUAAUACGAAGGGGGCUAGCGUUGUUCGGAAUCACUGGGCGUAAAGCGCACGUAGGCGGAUCUUUAAGUCAGGGGUGAAAUCCCGAGGCUCGACCUCGGAACUGCCUUUGAUACUGGAGGUCUCGAGUCCGGGAGAGGUGAGUGGAACUGCGAGUGUAGAGGUGAAAUUCGUAGAUAUUCGCAAGAACACCAGUGGCGAAGGCGGCUCACUGGCCCGGUACUGACGCUGAGGUGCGAAACGCGUGGGGAGCAAAACAGGAUUAGAUACCCUGGUAGUCCACGCCGUAAACUAUGGAUGCUAGCCGUUGGGCAGCUUGCUGUUCAGUGGCGCAGCUAACGCUUUAAGCACCCGCCUGGGGAGUACGGUCGCAAGAUU
rnacentral:rRNA from 1 species